CCUACGGGAGGCAGCAGUGGGGAAUAUUGGGCAAUGGACGCAAGUCUGACCCAGCAACGCCGCGUGAAGGAAGAAGGCUUUCGGGUUGUAAACUUCUUUUAAGGGGGAAGAGCAGAAGACGGUACCCCUUGAAUAAGCCACGGCUAACUACGUGCCAGUAGCCGCGGUAAUACGUAGGUGGCAAGCGUUGUCCGGAUUUACGGGGUGUAAAGGGCGUGCAGCCGGAGAGACAAGUAAGAUGUGAAAUCCAAGGGUCCAAACCGUGAACUGCCUUUGAAACUGUUUCCCUUGAGUGUCGGAGGGGUAAUCGGAAUUCCGUGGGGAGCGGUGAAAUGC
rnacentral:rRNA from 1 species